rnacentral:ncRNA from 1 species
UUAUUGAGGUGAGAAAUGGCUCCUCAUGCACUGAAGAUUUCAGUAAACAGAGAUGCAGGAAAUGUCGACCUGCCAAUAA